CUUCUUUAUCACCGAGUGCUUGCACUCACCGAUAAAGAGUUGAGUGGCGAACGGGUGAGUAACACGUGGGCAACCUGCCCAAAAGAGGGGGAUAACACUUGGAAACAGGUGCUAAUACCGCAUAACCAUAGUUACCGCAUGGUAACUAUGUAAAAGGUGGCUAUGCUACCGCUUUUGGAUGGGCCCGCGGUGCAUUAGCUAGUUGGUGGGGUAAAGGCUUACCAAGGCAAUGAUGCGUAGCCGAACUGAGAGGUUGAUCGGCCACAUUGGGACUGAGACACGGCCCAAACUCCUACGGGAGGCAGCAGUAGGGAAUCUUCCACAAUGGGCGAAAGCCUGAUGGAGCAACGCCGCGUGGGUGAAGAAGGUCUUCGGAUCGUAAAACCCUGUUGUUAGAGAAGAAAGUGCGUGAGAGUAACUGUUCACGUUUCGACGGUAUCUAACCAGAAAGCCACGGCUAACUACGUGCCAGCAGCCGCGGUAAUACGUAGGUGGCAAGCGUUAUCCGGAUUUAUUGGGCGUAAAGGGAACGCAGGCGGUCUUUUAAGUCUGAUGUGAAAGCCUUCGGCUUAACCGGAGUAGUGCAUUGGAAACUGGGAGACUUGAGUGCAGAAGAGGAGAGUGGAACUCCAUGUGUAGCGGUGAAAUGCGUAGAUAUAUGGAAGAACACCAGUGGCGAAAGCG
rnacentral:rRNA from 1 species